rnacentral:rRNA from 1 species
AGCGAACGCUGGCGGCAGGCCUAACACAUGCAAGUCGAACGAAGUCUUCGGACUUAGUGGCGGACGGGUGAGUAACACGUGGGAACGUGCCUUUAGGUUCGGAAUAACUCAGGGAAACUUGUGCUAAUACCGAAUGUGCCCUUCGGGGGAAAGAUUUAUCGCCUUUAGAGCGGCCCGCGUCUGAUUAGCUAGUUGGUGAGGUAAAGGCUCACCAAGGCGACGAUCAGUAGCUGGUCUGAGAGGAUGAUCAGCCACAUUGGGACUGGGACACGGCCCAAACCCCUACGGGAGGCAGCAGUGGGGAAUCUUGCGCAAUGGGCGAAAGCCUGACGCAGCCAUGCCGCGUGAAUGAUGAAGGUCUUAGGAUUGUAAAAUUCUUUCACCGGGGACGAUAAUGACGGUACCCGGAGAAGAAGCCCCGGCUAACUUCGUGCCAGCCGCCGCGGAAAGAC